rnacentral:rRNA from 1 species
GAUGAACGUUGGCGGUGUGCCUAAUACAUGCAAGUCGAACGGAGAUAAUAGCAAUAUUGUCUUAGUGGCGAACGGGUGAGUAACGCGUUGGUGAUCUGCCCCAAAGUGAGGGAUAACAGUUCGAAAGGGCUGCUAAUACCACAUGUGGUCAAUAGGUUUAGAAGCUAUUGACUAAAGAAGCAAUUCGCUUUGGGAGGGGCCUGCGUCCCAUCAGCUAGUUGGUAGGGUAAUGGCCUACCAAGGCUGCGACGGGUAGGGGGCCUGAGAGGGUGGCCCCCCACAUUGGCACUGACACACGGGCCAAACACCUACGGGUGGCAG